AAAUCAUAAAAUUUGUUUUGAAAACAAAUGUUGAGUAAUGCUCGUGAUUUUUU
rnacentral:tRNA from 1 species